UGUUAGCUUGCUAACAGGCGUCGAGUGGCGGACGGGUGAGUAAUGCGUAGGAUCUACCAAAUAGCGGGGGAUAGCCCGGAGAAAUCCGGAUUAAUACCGCAUAAUCUCUACGGAGUAAAGGGGGCCUCUAUUUAUAAGCUCUCACUAUUUGAUGAGCCUGCGUAAGAUUAGCUUGUUGGUGAGGUAAAAGCUCACCAAGGCGACGAUCUUUAGCUGGUCUGAGAGGAUGAUCAGCCACACUGGAACUGAGACACGGUCCAGACUCC
rnacentral:rRNA from 1 species